UGGGGAAUAUUGCACAAUGGGGGAAACCCGUGAUGCAGCGACGCCGCGUGAAGGAAGAAGUAUUUCGGUAUGUAAACUUCUAUCAGCAGGGAAGAAAAUGACGGUACCUGACUAAGAAGCCCCGGCUAACUACGUGCCAGCAGCCGCGGUAAUACGUAGGGGGCAAGCGUUAUCCGGAUUUACUGGGUGUAAAGGGAGCGUAGACGGCGGUGCAAGUCUGAUGUGAAAACCCGGGGCUCAACCCCGGGACUGCAUUGGAAACUGCAUGGCUGGAGUGUCGGAGAGGCAGGCGGAAUUCCUAGUGUAGCGGUGAAAUGCGUAGAUAUUAGGAGGAACACCAGUGGCGAAGGCGGCCUGCUGGACGAUGACUGACGUUGAGGCUCGAAAGCGUGGGGAGCAAACAGGAUUAGAUACCCUGGUAGU
rnacentral:rRNA from 1 species